GGGCCUUCACAUAUGCAGUGUGCUAUGCAGCAGGUAGGGAGAUGCCCACAGUCAGGGGCUUCCCCACAAGAGGUACAUGGCUACCUGACAUAGAUGAGGAACCUCUGGACUGCAUUUCUAACCACACCUAGUAGCGGAGCACGUGACUGGACCUUCAUGGAAUAUCUGAUGGUCUUGUUGGGCUUGGUUUCCUGAUCAGCUAAUGAUAGUUAUGCAGCAUACACUUCCAGUCUUGGACAUUAUUAUUAAGUCUGGUGGGUGGUGGAAAUAAUGUGCUAAGUCAUAUUAAUAAAUAACAAUGAGAAUGUGA